rnacentral:rRNA from 1 species
CCCUUAGAUGUCCUGGGCCGCACGCGCGUUACACUGAUGCAUUCAACGAGCUUAUAACCUUGGCCGAGAGGCCUGGGCAAUCUUGUUAACGUGCAUCGUGAUAGGGAUAGAUUAUUGAAAUUAUUAAUCUUGAACGAGGAAUUCCUAGUAAACGCAGAUCAUCAAUCUGCAUUGAUUACGUCCCUGCCCUUUGUACACACCGCCCUUCGCACCUACCGAUUGGAUGGUCCGGUGAAGCCUCGGGAUUGUGGUUCUUGCCGCUUUAUUGUGGCGUGACCGCGAGAACUUGUCUAAACCUUAUCAUCUAGAGGAAGGUGAAGUCGUAACA